UUUGUAUGCUAUUCCAAAAGAGAAAUUCAAGCCACUACAAGCGAAAAUGGUGUCUUGCAUACAAAAGUAAAGAGGUAACCAAUGUAUUUACUUAGAUAUGUUUCGUCCUGUGAUUGUAAGUGAAGGGGUAUCGGUGAUGAUUCAAAAUCCAAGAAAAACACUAAAGUUUUAGGCUUUGGACAUUGUUUCAUUGUCAAGAUUAAUAGAAACAACAUGAGCAAAUCAGUCAAAUCCCGGGAUGGAUCAAACUUCAAUGGUUUUGUAUCAAGAUGGUGGACUCUUAGGCUGAAAAUAAUUGAACAAGAAAGUGAUUCAGUCGACUAAGAAAAAGGAAGUGUCAGGUAGACGGAUCUUAAGCGGAAAAUAACCUAAUUUAAGAAAGCCAUUCAGUCUCCCCUAAAGAAGAAGGUCAGUUGUUGGAGAGUCCUUUACACAUGAGGCAGCCAAAUGUUUCCUGACCAAUACUAAGGAAACCAUCAUAAUUACAUGAUCCGGAUAAAUGGGGUUUGGACUAAUGACUAUGGUGUCACUUUCGUUGUAUCUGUGAAGAAGAAAGUCAUGCAAGAAGAAUCUAUACAAUCAGGUGACAACUCAUAUCUCAAUUCCGUGUCAGGAGCAAAUUCGGGUUCUUCAUUACACAGCAUAACCUGUCAAGAUUAAAUAACAGAAAAUUAACAACCAGUCAGGCUCUAGAGUGGAUCUACGAAGAACAAAAGUUCAAGAAAGUGCUUCAGUAGCCAAGAUCAAAUGAGAGGUCAUGUAUCUU